rnacentral:lncRNA from 1 species
UAUAAUAGAGCCGACACGUAUAAUCCACUAUUCGUGCUGGCUCUAAAUCGAGCCAGCACAAAUAUGAUAGCCGGCACGAAUAAGGAUUAUUCUUGCACGAAUAGUUGUUUAAAGCGCUAUUUAGAGUCGGUGUCAGUGUUUAGACCCGGCAACCUACCGAGGUGGGUGCCCGAGGUAGUGUUUUGGUUGGUGGGGUUCUUCAAGAUCAUGAACUCGAAGGUAAACACACACACAUGAUUUAGAUAGAUUCGGACCACUGAAUAUCGUAAUACCCUACAUCGUGUGUGUUGGUUGUAUUGAAUUGUUUUGGAGGGGGUCCCUGCCUCACCUUAUACAGUCGGGGGCAGGGUUAUAGGUCGGUUGAUUUACAAAAAUACUAGUUAGAUACGACUAGAGGAGUUCCACUCUUAUUACCACGAGUACUUUCGUAAUCCUUGACUAGUUCUUGUCUUUCCAUGUAGACUACGCCGCCCUACACCAUGGUCUCCAUGUCAGAUGCGUCUCGGUUUCCAGCCUCAUAUUUGGGACUGUCCAAACCUUCUGGUGGGUCUAUAAAUGUAUGUACGAUAAGCCCCCGAGUACUUUUGAAGUAUCUAUCGACUACUCUUGAUACUGCUCGAGUACUUCAUCUGGUUAGAUCUUCAAAGGUGCCCCAAACUUGCCAUGAGGCUACAAUGUGGUCAAGGCCUUUUUGAACUUGUAAUCUUUGUCUUUGUAUGUUAUAUGGAAGUGCGACAAAAGUCGCACUCCAUAUGCAGUAGCCCCCGAGCUUUAGGUUGAAUCGAAGAAUGAGGCUGAGGGUCAAUCCAUAAUUUGCAUCACUUUCCCAUUAAAACCAUGAGAAAAAACUUUCUGUCGAUGGACAUGUGGCGCACAGCCCCCGAGCCUUUAGCCGACUAGUUUGGUGGGUGUAAGGAUCAACCUUUGGUCAACUUGACCAUCUCUAUAAAAUAACCUUAUCUCUUCCCGAAAUAAAGGCAACUGCCAAUCAAAUCCCCUAAUUUUAAGGAAUCCUUUAGAUCGUAAAGACCCACUGCCCACUAUGCUGGUGUUAUAAAUAUCAGGGGGAAGUUAUCCUCUCCGUUUCACUCUUUGCCAUUUGCCCCUUCAUCUUCUGCAUUGUAGCCCUAGUGCCACCACCACUACGCAAUCUUCGAGCGCUUGCACCGUUGUUCCCCCCACACCCUAUCCCCC